rnacentral:rRNA from 1 species
GAUGAACGCUGGCGGCGUGCUUAACACAUGCAAGUCGAACGAAGCAUUUAGAACAGAUUAUUUCGGUAUGAAGUUCUUUAUGACUGAGUGGCGGACGGGUGAGUAACGCGUGGGUAACCUGCCUUGUACUGGGGGAUAGCAGCUGGAAACGGCUGGUAAUACCGCAUAAGCGCACGGUGCUGCAUGGCACAGUGUGAAAAACUCCGGUGGUAUAAGAUGGACCCGCGUCUGAUUAGCUAGUUGGUGAGAUAACAGCCCACCAAGGCGACGAUCAGUAGCCGACCUGAGAGGGUGACCGGCCACAUUGGGACUGAGACACGGCCCAGACUCCUACGGGAGGCAGCAGUGGGGAAUAUUGCACAAUGGAGGAAACUACUGAUGCAGCGACGCCGCGUGAGUGAAGAAGUAAUUCGUUAUGUAAAGCUCUAUCAGCAGGGAAGAUAGUGACGGUACCUGACUAAGAAGCUCCGGCUAAAUAC